rnacentral:misc_RNA from 1 species
CACUAGAACUGAAGUUGUUAUUUUUCCGUUUCCGCUGUGUUUAUUCAUAUAUGUUUAUCUCAUUCACUCUCUUUAUUCAUUUCGUUGCUUGGUUGAGAUUUUAUCUUUGUCUUCUGCUCACAUUGUUUCGUUUUCGUUGACUUUUGUGCUGCCUUCCGCGCUUCACCGCCAUUUUGUGUAUUGAUAGAUGUGUUGACUACAGUUUAUUUAUUUUAGGAAAAAUUAAAACUAAUUAUUUUUACAGCAUAAAUUGCAUAAAAGCUUUCGUAAUUGAAAUUAUGGAAAACGACAGGGAAAGGGACCGUGAUCGCUCGAGGCGAGGAGAUAGAUCGACUAGGUUUUCUGAUGCGCCAGUCAGGGAUCGCUCUAAUGACAGAGAGAGACCUGAAGGAAGAAGGCUAAUUGUUUCUAAUAUUCCUUAUGAAUAUCGUUGGACCGAAUUAAAAGACUUAUUCAAGGAAAAGGUUGGAGAUGUUGGCUAUGUGGAAAUUUUCAAAGACGAAAACGGCAAAUCAAGAGGCUGCGGUGUUGUCCAGUUCACAACCUCUGAGGCUACAAAGAAAGCGUUAUUUGUCAUGCACAGAUAUGAACUCAACGGAAGAAAAAUUGUUUUGAAGGAGGAAGGAGAAAAUGAAGGGCGAAUGAAUACCUCAAGAACAGGAGGUGGUGGAGGAGGCAACAGAAUGCCCAGAGAAGAUAAAGAUAGAUGGGGAGCAAAGCAAAGAGAACCAGAAAAUUUCAACACUUAUGGCCUUAGUUUGCAGUUCCUAGAUUCCAUCAAAGUACAACCUCCACUAGUGAAAAAAGUUUUUGUUGCUAAUUUGGACUACAAAGCUGACAGAGCAAAGAUAAAGGAAGUCUUCAAGAUGGCUGGUAAAGUGCGUAACAUUGAUCUGGCUGUAGACAAGGAUGGAAACAGCAGAGGGUUUGCAGUAAUUGAAUACGACCACCCAGUUGAAGCUGUCCAGGCCAUAUCAAUGUUUGACAAGCAAAUGCUUUUCGAGCGCAGAAUGACAGUCCGCAUGGAUCGUGGUGUGGAAAAGAUUGAGUUGAAAUUGCCUGAAGGACUGAAAAGCAUAGGUCUCGGUCUGGGGCCGAAUGGGGAACCACUGCGUGACGUCGCAAGAAAUUUGCCUCAACCCAAUACUAAUGGUAGUUUGGGUUUAAAUAAUGCCGGGGCAUCAAUAGGAGCCGGUGUUUUGGGUCCAGUGCCUACUGCUAGUGUGGCUUUGAAUGGCCUCGGGACCGGAUUGGCGGCAAAUACUUUGAACACAAAUUCUGCGUUGGGGGGAAAUUUGGGUUUGCAGGCACUUGGCCUAUCAGGUCUUGGCGCUCUUCAAAAUCAGUUGCUUCAACAGGGUUUGACUGCAUCUGAUCUGGCGACGGUGCUGACUGCGCAAGCGCAAGUUCAGGCUCAGGCGCAGGUGAAUACAGCUAAUUUGGGGCUCAACAACACAGAUUUGACUUCGAACAUACUUGGAAAUACGAACCUUGCGAAUAAUAUAAUGGGAAAUAACUCUGGUUUGAGUAGCGGCCCUCUAUCUGGUUCAAACAGGCAAAUGGGAGGCGUUCAAGUGCCCGGUCAAGGCUACGGUCGCGACUCUGGUCAACAGCCAAGUGGCAGAGAUAAAGUUUCCGACAUGGUUAUGAUCACAAAUCUGCCACCGACAGUGACUUGGCAGUUGAUCCGGGAGAAAUUCAGCGAGUGCGGCGACGUUAAGUUCGCGGAGAUGACCGCGCCCGACACCGCCAUUGUUCGCUUCCACAAGGAGUGGGAUGCUGAGAGGGCUAUCAACAUGUUUGAUAGGACACGCAUUGAUGGAAGAACUAUUGAUGUUCGUUUCUUCUAAUUGUUGCAGAAAACGGAAUAUGUCGUAUAGAAGUCGAUCUAUUGUGGGGUUUGUAUAACUCAGCCGCCUGGAUAAACUCUUGGAUUUUAUUUUCAUCGUAUUUUUAUCUUAUCUCCAGUAAAAUUGACUUAUUCACAAUUCGUAAAAUGUUUGUUUUAGCUUAUAAUUAGAUUAAGUGUCCUUUGAUUGUGUAUCAGUACAUAAUAAAAUGAAUUAAAGACGGUUUGAUAAUUUUUGUCACAAUCCAACCAUGGUGCAUGCUGGCAGCAUUACUUCUAAAUUUGAGGCAAUUGUUAAAGACAAAGGCAUGAUAAAGUGAUGCUAUCAAGCGGCGUCUUGUAACAAACUGUUUUUGGUAUGAUUAUUGUUUGCCUAUCUUUACUGUAUCGAUAGCUACGCUCCUAUACGAUAUAAAUGAAAGGGUCAGUAAGGUAAAAAAAAAUGUCCAAAAGUAUAAAACGGUGGUGUGUGAAUUUGGUAUCUCAGUAGAAUUACAUGUUUUAUCGGUGGCCUGUCUAUUAUAACUCAUAAUCUAGUUAAGCAAGAAGAGCGAAAUCAUCUCUUAUUGUCGAUGAAUACUUCAAGCUUUGCCACUUUUCGGCAUUGGAAUAAUCCAACAAUUGUAAUAUAUUUUCAUUAUUUUUAUAGUGGUUAAUUUGUGCGAAAUCUCUGGCUGAAUGAAAUCUCGGUUAAAAUUUGGAUUCGACGCCCGGCCGUAUAUUCUCUAUUCGGCGUUUCAAUUGUUUGUCAAAGUUGAUACUCUUUACUCAGCAAUUGUCAAUGAACAAAAAUUUGGGAGAGGAAUUUGUCAGACACCGGUAAUUGUAGUAAUCCAUUUUUCUUUUAUAACGUACCAUCAAGUCUAUCAGUAUGAAUGAUAAUAUUGCAUCACACAUAUGCGAUCAAAAGAAGUGUAAAAAUGUGCUGGAACGCUACGGCUACCGAUUGAAACUUAGGGUGCGCGAUCCUUUGUAAUAUCCUGCACAUUGUAUGUACAUAAAGGUUCUUUGUAUUGAGGCGUCUUAAAAUGUAAUGAAAUUUCGUGGUGUCAUAACUACGGAGGUGUGGGAAGUUUCUUCGCCUGAUAACCAUAAUGCAGACCAAUUUAAAUUUCAAACAACUAUUACGAUCGAGUCGGUAUAUCGUUAUGGCUUGGAGUUCCCUGAUCUAAUUUGGGGAAUUUUGAUAAUUUUGAGACACAGAAGCUAAUCGUCGUUGGAAGGUGUCUUUUGAAGAGCGAUAUUUUGAGACGGCGGCUUUCACUGCUGCGUCUAUCGCCUGGGUUUGGAUAUUCCGACUGAUACUUCUGGGUACGCAAUGGCUUAAAUGUGACGAAUCAAGUUUCGUGAAAGAAACAAGAAAUGUGUUGCGCGAUUUGUAGCUGAGUCGUAAAGAUUCAAAUAAAUUACAUUCACAUUGUAACUCGCAGAAGAAUGCAUUCUUCUGCUCGCUGUAAGCAAGAAGUAGCGACAUCUCAGGUGCGAGUGGUCUUGUCCGACUGAAGAGUGAAGACAGAAGACUUCGAAAGUUGACUAUUUUCUUUAUUUUAAAAAUCGA